AUCAUCGUCGUGCGGCGUGCCUCAGACACGCAAGUCGAACGCGAAAGUCCCCCUCGGGGGAUAAGUAGAGUGGCGCACGGGUGAGUAACACGUAGGUAAUCUACCUUCGGGUGGGGAAUAACCCAGGGAAACUUGGGCUAACACCGCAUAAUGCAGCGGCACCACAUGGUGACAGUUGUUAAAGCGGGGGAUUUUAGGACCUCGCGCCUGAAGAGGAGCCUGCGGCAGAUUAGCUAGUUGGUAAGGUAACGGCUUACCAAGGCGACGAUCUGUAACCGGCCUGAGAGGGCGGUCGGUCACACUGACACUGACAUACGGGUCAGACUCCUACGGGAGGCAGCAGUCGGGAAUUUUGGGCAAUGGGCGAAAGCCUGACCCAGCAACGCCGCGUGAAGGAUGAAAUCCCUCGGGAUGUAAACUUCGCAAGAUUGGGAAGAAUUAGUAGGGGUUAAUACCCCCUAUGAUGACGGUACCUUUUGUAAGCUCCGGCUAACUCCGUGCCAGCAGCCGCGGUAAUACGGGGGGAGCAAGCGUUGUUCGGAUUUACUGGGCGUAAAGGGCGCGUAGGCGGUCAGCACAAGUCAGUUGUGAAAUCUCCGGGCUUAACUCGGAAAGGUCAACUGAUACUGUGCGACUAGAGUGCAGAAGGGGCAACUGGAAUUCUCGGUGUAGCGGUGAAAUGCGUAGAUAUCGAGAGGAACACCUGCGGCGAAGGCGGGUUGCUGGGCUGACACUGACGCUGAGGCGCGAAAGCCAGGGGAGCGAACGGGAUUAGAUACCCUGGUAGUCCACGCCGUAAACGAUGGGUGCUAGGUGUGGGCGGUGUCGACUCCGUCCGUGCCGAAGCUAACGCAUUAAGCACCCCGCCUGGGGAGUACGGCCGCAAGGCUAAAACUCAAAGGAAUUGACGGGGGCCCGCACAAGCGGUGGAGCAUGUGGUUUAAUUCGACGCAACGCGAAGAACCUUACCUGGGUUUGACAUGUGCAGGACCAGUGAUGAAAGUCACUCUCCCUUCGGGGCCUGUGCACAGGUGCUGCAUGGCUGUCGUCAGCUCGUGUCGUGAGAUGUUGGGUUAAGUCCCGCAACGAGCGCAACCCUCGCCCUCUGUUGCUACCGGGUCAUGCCGGGCACUCUGAGGGGACUGCCCCGGUGAACGGGGAGGAAGGUGGGGAUGACGUCAAGUCCUCAUGGCCUUUAUGUCCAGGGCUACACACGUGCUACAAUGGUCAGGACAAUGGGUUGCUCCCUCGCAAGAGGUUGCCAAUCUCAAAAACCUGACCCUAGUUCGGAUGGUCGGCUGCAACUCGCCGGCCUGAAGCUGGAAUCGCUAGUAAUCG
rnacentral:rRNA from 1 species